CCCCUAGAUGUUCUGGGCCGCACGCGCGCUACACUGAACAGUUCAACAAGUCUUAACCUUGGCCGAUAGGUCUGGGUAAUCUUUGAACGCUGUUCGUGAUUGGGAUAGACCUUUGCAAUUAUGGGUCUUCAACGAGGAAUUCCUAGUAAACGCAAGUCAUCAGCUUGCAUUGAUUACGUCCCUGCCCUUUGUACACACCGCCCGUCGCUCCUACCGAUUGGGUGCUCCGGUGAAUUGUUUGGACUGCUGUCAGUCUUUUCGGCCGUCGGCGAGAAGCUCUGUGAACCUUAGCACCUAGAGGAAGGAGAAGUCGUAACA
rnacentral:rRNA from 1 species